GCCUCCGUAGCUCAGCGGAUAGAGCAUUGGUUUCCGGUACCAAGGGUCGCACGUUCGAUUCGUGUCGGGGGCA
rnacentral:tRNA from 1 species